rnacentral:rRNA from 1 species
CUAUUGGAGAGUUUGAUCCUGGCUCAGAACGAACGCUGGCGGCGUGGAUUAGGCAUGCAAGUCGUGCGAUCCUUCGGGAUAGCGGCAAAAGGGUGAGUAACGCGUGGGUAAUCUACCCUCAAGUUAAGGAUAACACC